rnacentral:lncRNA from 1 species
CGGUAUUUCUAGUUGUUGCAUGGUGGUAGCUUCUCUGCUGCUCACUUUCUCCCCUGUUGUUUUGGUAUACUGUGUUCUUGUGAUGGUCUUGAUUGUCAAUUCUUAAGUCUCAACCAACUAACUUUGGUCUCCUGGUCAGAGAAUAUUCAAAGAGACAUGCAUACAUCCUGCAAAAAAGAAUUCUGCACACACCGAGGAAAAAAAGAUUAUAUGAUAGCAUGGGAGUGAGUGACUAAAGGAAGACUACUUUGUUGCUUACACGCAUCAGACAUAAUAGGGUAAUAAAUAAAAGGAACCGAAAAGAUAAUAGACCUAGUUAACGCAACUUUAGAUAAAUAGUAGUAAGGGAUUUGUCCAUCAUGGUUAAAAUAUGUACUCUUCCAUGGUGGUUUGUCAGAGGUUUGUUAUUUUAAGGUUUAGGCCAUUACUGAGAGAUUUAGAAUACAAACAUACCUUGGUGGGUAGCACGGUGGACGACCUGUUGUCGGUAAAGUUGAAUCUUGCUCCUGUUCCAUAUCUAGUGGAUGUACAUGCAUGCCAAGAACAGGAAAUGGAACAGUGAACUGAUUUGAUUCUGUACCACUCUGGUACAGUUUACAUCACUUCUACUAUUAAGUUGGUGACUGGUUUAAGCCAGCAUUAUAUGCUCAAGCAGACAACAAGCAGUCAGGCUUACUCUCACCAGGCAACUGAACUAACUGUGCUCUUAUUUCGUCUGUAGCAAUUUUCUCUGACUGUUCCUGCAAAAGAACUCAUUAAGAUUGAUGCAAGUAAUUAACAUGUCAGAUUUUUUUUAUAUUAAAAAAAAAGGUGACAAGGGAAUCAUCGAUGGACAAGGUGAUGUAUGGUGGAACAUGUGGAGGCAAAGGACACUUCAGCAUACCAGGCCCAACCUUCUGGAAUUCAUGCAUUCCAGUGGCAUUCACAUCUCCAACAUUGUUCUCAAGAAUUCACCCUUCUGGAACAUCCAUCCUGUUUAUUGCGAGUAAGCACACGCUUGAAAGUUGAAAUGUUCAUCUCCUUCCUGCAAAAAUUUGUCACUGCUUAAUAUUUCUUUCAGAGCAAUGUUGGAAGGCCGAAAAAUAGUUGAUAUGUGAAAAUUUCAAUACAAUCCAUUAUGGAAUAGUUACCAGAAAUAAGAAAUCUUGUGACACAGCUACAAAAUUCUUGAGAAUGUUCAGUUUCAAAUGCCCAUUUAUGCUGAAAUACUGAUCCAAUUCAUUUUCUACACCCAGC